ACUGAGAAUAUUCCAUAAUAGAAGCACGCCAUCAAUCGGUAACAACAGAGAAUGUGGGGGAAAACCCAGCACUGACUCGAUGCGAUGACACAGUCAUGAACACCGAACGAAUUCAGUGCAUCGAAACCCUUGCAUGAUAUUAAUAUUAUGCUUGUGAAGAAAUCUGCGCAUUGUAUUGCUUAAAAGGAUAUUAACCUGGAUACAAAAGAUGACGCUUUGACUUUUGAUAACCAGAUUCAACCAUCCAUGUGUACAGUACUGUCUAUUAACAAGCAAAAGCUCUUAGGAUUAUCUUGAUGUAACAGCAAUUUCCAAGAUGGAUUUCACAUCACUGAUCAGGAUGGUGAGCUACAUUUGUGCGGCAAUUAUCGCAUUUGCCGCAACAUUUGGAAAAGCUGAAAACUGCUACCAGUGUACUCAUCCAAUUACAUUUGAAAUCAUGACUGGGUUGAAGGAGGCCUGCUCAGAUAAAUAUGACUCAGCAGACUACUCCAAGAACCCUGUAUACUGUGCUAAUGGAUGUAGAGUAACGAGAACGUUUGAUGCCGGACUGAUGAAAGCUACUAUUCAGCGGGGGUGUGCCACACCGAAACAUUCGAAAUAUUCGAAAUAUUUCACGAUUGAAGGGAAAGCUUUGAAUUUGAACAUUAGCUGCUCCGGAAAUUAUUGGAGGUGA